AGUCUUUAUAUUCAUGUUAUGAUAUUAGAAUGCAACUCUAAUGGUGUAUUAAUUAAUUGAUACUAAGACUU
rnacentral:tRNA from 1 species